UACGUAGGUCCCGAGCGUUGUCCGGAUUUAUUGGGCGUAAAGCGAGCGCAGGUGGUUUAUUAAGUCUGGUGUAAAAGGCAGUGGCUCAACCAUUGUAUGCAUUGGAAACUGGUAGACUUGAGUGCAGGAGAGGAGAGUGGAAUUCCAUGUGUAGCGGUGAAAUGGGUAGAUAUAUGGAGGAACACCGGUGGCGAAAGCGGCUCUCUGGCCUGUAACUGACACUGAGGCUCGAAAGCGUGGGGAGCAAACAGG
rnacentral:rRNA from 1 species